GAAGCAAUACCCAAAAUCUUGACCUGCUGGUUCGCAGCUCGUGGUAUCUGAUCCAGCCGCCGUCCUGGUGUCGUCACCACCGGCGUCCUGGUCAUGAACCCAAGCUAAAAAUUGGUUUGAGAGCGCUUUAUCAAGCAGCUCUGCGCCAUGACGAUUCACUUCGUGGUGCGCCCAGUGCCUAGGAGGUACAGCUGGUACUUCUUGACAUGGGACAGCAUCAUGGGAGGGCUGCACACGUUCAUACCGGGAGUGAAGAAUUUGUUCGUCCCAGUAGAGGACGGUGCCUGCUUCGCCGUGGCUUCCACCAUUGGAUACUGCCAGACGAUGAAGGACCCUGGAAAGAGCAUUAUUCCAAUUUUUCUCACCGAAUUUGGGUCCACGGACAGAAGCCGAUACAAGUAUUACACUAUAUCUAUUGAACUUCACUAAAUAAAGUAUACAGAGAAUGUACAAUGCA